GCCCGACCGAUAUUGAUUUUUGAGUGCCGAUGCCGAGGCCGAUUAUUUUCAGAGAAAAAUUACGAUUACGAUUUAAUCGGCCGAUUAAAAACAAAACAAAAAAAAGCAUAUAAAACGUAGUUUUUGAUUCAUUAAAUAUACUUUAAACACUUUUGACGAAUAUGUGAAUUGAAUGCAGAACCUUUGAGUGUUUUAGAAUACAUUUACAGUCAAAAAUUAGUGUAAUGUAAAAUGUAAAAUAAAUAACUAACUCCCAAUCUGCUGCGCUCGUGGGCAGUGACUAACACGUGUGUGCUGAGCAGUAUGGUCUCACCGUUAGAGUCUACAGUAUAACAAAUUAACAUGGCCUGGGACCUAAAGAAAAACAGGCACAACAUGCUCAAACAACGCGUCUUGUGUACAUUGGUUUGGUGAGCGCGCAGCUGCCUGAGCGAGCGUGCUUUCAUGUUGUACGGUAAAAUUCAAUCUCCUCUUUUUUACUCCAGCUAAAGUUGUUAGUUAGCAAGGCGAGUAUGAGCGCAAUCUGCAGGAUACUAAGCGCAAUAACAUUUCUAAAAAAAAGAAAAAAAAAUCGGCUAUAAUCGGCCGAUUAAAUCGGCAGGCCGAUGAAUCGGUCGGGCCCUAGUA